rnacentral:rRNA from 1 species
GGAACGUGCCCUUUGGUUCGGAACAACUCCGGGAAACUGGAGCUAAUACCGGAUAAGCCCUUCGGGGGAAAGAUUUAUCGCCAAAGGAUCGGCCCGCGUCUGAUUAGCUUGUUGGUGAGGUAAUGGCUCACCAAGGCGACGAUCAGUAGCUGGUCUGAGAGGAUGAUCAGCCACACUGGGACUGAGACACGGCCCAGACUCCUACGGGAGGCAGCAGUGGGGAAUAUUGGACAAUGGGCGCAAGCCUGAUCCAGCCAUGCCGCGUGAGUGAUGAAGGCCCUAGGGUUGUAAAGCUCUUUCGGCGGGGACGAUAAUGACGGUACCCGCAGAAGAAGCCCCGGCUAACUUCGUGCCAGCAGCCGCGGUAAUACRAAGGGGGCUAGCGUUGCUCGGAAUCACUGGGCGUAAAGGGCGCGUAGGCGGCCAUUCAAGUCAGGGGUGAAAGCCUGUGGCUCAACCACAAAAUUGCCUUUGAUACUGUUUGGCUAG